rnacentral:lncRNA from 1 species
GUUCUAUUCAUUACUGAGCAAGGAGUAUGAAAUCUCCAACUCUAACUGUAAUUUAUUUGUUUCUCCUUUCAGUUGUAUUAGCUUUUCUUCAUGUUCGAAGCUCUGUUGUUAGGCACACACACAUUUAAGAUUGUUCUGUCUUCUUGGUGAAAUGACCAUUGUAUCAUUAUAGAAUGCCCUUCUUUAUACCUGGCUUGUGAGAUCCUAAACAAAGAACCUACUAAGUUCUGCCCAGAUUUCUCACUUACAGAACACCUGGUCUUGAACUUCUGGCCUCAAGCAAUCCUCCCAACUCUGUGUGACUUUGACGACUACAUCACACAAGCGUCAUGGCAGCCCUGUGAAGAGGCUGACUUGGAAAAAAAAAAAAAAAAGAAAUGCUUCUGCCAACGUCCAGCAACAUCUUCCAGCCAUAUGAAUGAGCCACCUUGGAAGUGGAUCCUCCAGCUCCAAACAAGUCUUCAGAUGUGUGUAACCCCAGCCAAUAUCCAACUGAAACCUCAUGAGAGACCCUUGGCCGGAACUACCUAGCCAAGCAACUCCUGAAAUCCUGAUCACAGAAACAGUAAGAGUCUCCACAGAGAAUAGAGCAGGAGUUGAUGAGUCUUGCAAUGAGAGAAUUGAUGAAAUACUUAAGGAAGAACUUCUUAACUGAAGGGCAAUUAAACACAAAUGGCUUUGCAUGGGAGGAUAUGGAAAUCUUGCUCCUUUGUGAUCUUUGAAAAGAGGCAGCAGCUGUUGUGAGCAACUUAAGACUCACAGAGUGCUAUCCUGGAGGAGGAGGAGGAUGAACCACAUCCUGGGAAUAACUCUCUAUACACUUUAACAUAUUUUCCUGGUGGUCCUUAUGCACACUACAGUUUGAGAAUCAUGGUUAUUGAGAAAUAAAAGGCUUUCUUUCUCUGCCUAGG